GGGGAGGAAACAGUUAGUUGGUUAGUUGAUUAGGAAUGAAGGAUGAAAGGAUGGCUUAGAGCAACUCCAAGAGGCUGCUAAUCUUACCCCCAAUAUAUUUUUUAGGGAAAAAAGGAAAAAAAACGAACUCCAACAGUCCACCCAAACCUUCCCCAAUUUUUUAGCAACGCUAAAAAAUAGCCUACCACCGCGUAUAUUUUAGCGUUGGCAUUCCUCCCCCAAUCCUGAUUCCCACACGCUCGCGUGUCCUUUCUGAUGGGCCCAAUACGAUGACGUGGCCUGUUUUUAAAUAUUGGAGGCUAUUUAUUAGCGAUCUGCUGUGGAUUGAUAUGUUUUUGGAGAAAUUUGUUUUGGAAGAACCCCCAAUACAUAGUUUUGGGGAAGAAUUUUUUGGAGUACUCUUGGAGUUGCUCUUAGACCCAUUAUUUGUUUUCUUCUAUUUAACAAAAGAUGUGGCUCAGUAGUGAUUAGCAAGAUGAUUGCAUGAUCUAAACAGCUAUUAUAUGAUACUAAAUUAUUGUUAAAUUAAGGUGGGGAUAAUAAAUAUAUCAGUUUAGGUAGUUAAAGGGUUGUUUUGCACCAAUUGAAACAUGGGGGAUGAAUGUCACACUUUUGCAAUAGUUCAGAGAUAACAAAUACACUUUUUUCUUAAUAUUAUAUAUAGAUAUUUGGAUCUCUAAAUUCAUAUAUAUCAAGUGAGAGCAUUCAAGAAUAUUGGAAUAAACAUAUUUCUCUGAACCAUAUAUCUUGUUUAGACUUCAAUAGUUUAUACUACAUUGAACAAUGCAUAAAUGUCAUGACCAACAAAAACAUAUACGAAAGCGAAGAGCAACUGCAAUUACUUGGGCAUUAUGCCAUUUCAAGAUUGUGCAAAGGUAAUAAAGCGUGCCAAUGGACACUCUAAAAAUCCUUACCCUAC
rnacentral:lncRNA from 1 species